rnacentral:rRNA from 1 species
AGCGAACGCUGGCGGCAGGCUUAACACAUGCAAGUCGAGCGGGCGUAGCAAUACGUCAGCGGCAGACGGGUGAGUAACGCGUGGGAACGUACCUUUUGGUUCGGAACAACACAGGGAAACUUGUGCUAAUACCGGAUAAGCCCUUACGGGGAAAGAUUUAUCGCCGAAAGAUCGGCCCGCGUCUGAUUAGCUAGUUGGUAGGGUAAUGGCCAACCAAGGCGACGAUCAGUAGCUGGUCUGAGAGGAUGAUCAGCCACAUUGGGACUGAGACACGGCCCAAACUCCUACGGGAGGCAGCAGUGGGGAAUAUCGGACAAUGGGGGCAACCCUGAUCCAGCCAUGCCGCGUGAGUGAUGAAGGCCCUAGGGUUAUAAAGCUCUUUUGUGCGGGAAGAUAAUGACGGUACCGCAAGAAUAAGCCCCGGCUAACUUCGUGCCAGCCGCCGCGGUAA